UCAUCUGUACCUCCUUCUAUUCCGGUGGCUCUUCCCAUCAACAGUAAGCCCGGGAUUUCGAACACAGGAGUUGAAUAUCCGGAAGAAAUCGCUCAAAGGGAAAGUUUGGGGAGGCACGUGUUCAUGGGUGUCCAGUACAGUGACUCAACAAUUCCAUACAUCACCGGGUUCUCAUCAGGACAAGUGCCCUCCUUCUUCCCCAGCUGUUUUGUUAAAUUCCACCAGUGAAAUCAUAUGAUACUUGUCUUUCUUCUUAUUUCGCUUAGCGUAAUAAUCUCUAGCUUCAUCUGUGUUGUUUCAAAUGGGAAGAUUUCAUUCUCUUUUAUGGCUGCAUAAUAUUCCAUUGUAUGUGUACACACCACAUCUUCCUUAUCCAUUCAUCUAUCCAUGGACGCUUGGGCUGCUUCCACGAUUUGGU